UACGAAGGGGGCAAGCGUUGUUCGGAAUUACUGGGCGUAAAGGGCGCGUAGGCGGCCGAUCAAGUCAGGCGUGAAAUUCCCGGGCUCAACCCGGGGGCUGCGCUUGAUACUGAUUGGCUUGAAUGCGGGAGAGGAUAGUAGAAUUCCCAGUGUAGAGGUGAAAUUCGUAGAUAUUGGGAAGAACACCAGUGGCGAAGGCGGCUAUCUGGCCCGUUAUUGACGCUGAGGCGCGAAAGCGUGGGGAGCAAACAGG
rnacentral:rRNA from 1 species